rnacentral:rRNA from 1 species
AUUGAACGCUGGCGGCAUGCCUUACACAUGCAAGUCGAACGGCAGCACGGGUGCUUGCACCUGGUGGCGAGUGGCGAACGGGUGAGUAAUACAUCGGAACAUGUCCUGUAGUUGGGGAUAGCCCGGCGAAAGCCGGAUUAAUACCGCAUACGAUCUACGGAUGAAAGCGGGGGACCUUCGGGCCUCGCGCUAUAGGGUUGGCCGAUGGCUGAUUAGCUAGUUGGUGGGGUAAAGGCUUACCAAGGCGACGAUCAGUAGCUGGUCUGAGAGGACGACCAGCCACACUGGGACUGAGACACGGCCCAGACUCCUACGGGAGGCAGCAGUGGGGAAUUUUGGACAAUGGGCGAAAGCCUGAUCCAGCAAUGCCGCGUGUGUGAAGAAGGCCUUCGGGUUGUAAAGCACUUUUGUCCGGAAAGAAAUCCUUGGCCCUAAUACGGUCGGGGGAUGACGGUACCGGAAGAAUAAGCACCGGCUAACUACGUG